AAAAGUCCUAUAAUCAAUCCAACACAAAGUUUCAUCAUCAUCAGCCCCACUUAAAACAUUCAUUAUUAGGGUACCCAAAUCAAGAAAGAACAGUUUUUUCAUUGAUUAAAGGUUUGAAAUUUGAUGGGAUAUUUUUUCUGGGCAGUUUGUUAUUGGGUUUUCUUGGAGGAAUCAAUUGAUGAUCUUUAAGGGGAUAAAGUUCAAAUCUUUUGCAAGUUGGUUCAAGGAAAAAGGUGGAAUCUUUACUUUGUUUACUAGUAAAGUUACAAUUUUUUGUGCAAGUUUAUACUUUGUUUAGUAGUAAAGAAUUUUUACUAGUAUUUUGAGGUGAAAAUGGCUUGUGAGUUGUGAAGGUAGCUAUAUGUGGAGUUAAUGGGAUAAAGUUCAAAGCUUUGCAAGUUUAAAAGGAAAAAGGUGGAAUCUUUACUCUGUUUACUAGUAAAGUUACAAUUUUGGGUUUGUGAAAGUUUAUCAGGGAAAAGGUGAACUUUUUUGCUUUGAUUAAUAGUAAAGUUGGAACUUUUACUUGUAUUUUGGGGUGAAAAUGGCUUGUGAAGGUAGGUUUGUGUGGAGUUUGAGUGGUAUUGUGGGAGCUUUUGUUGAUCUUGCUAUAGCAUAUUUCUUGCUUUGUGCAGCUACAGUAGCUUUUUUAGCAUCAAAAUUUCUUGUUUUUUUUGGUUUGAGAUUGCCAUGUCCUUGUGAUGGACUUUAUUUUGGUACUGUUCCAAAUGGGAAUUUAUGUUUUCAUAGACUCUUGAUUGAUUUCCCAGCUGAGAAAGUGUCUAAUGUCCAACUCUCUAUAAAAGCAAACUUCCCUUUUAAUGAUACUAUUUUGGGGAAAGACCAGAAUUGUGAUUUGAAUUGGAGAUUAAUUGGUAAUGAAAAGGAGAAUAGUUCUCAUGGGUAUCUUGAAAUGGGUGAUGAGGCUUCAUGUAGUUCAGUAUCAGAUGCAGGAAAGUCACAUAAGAUUGCUAUGAUUGAGUUAAGCCCAAGAAAUGAAUUUGGGAUAAAGGGGAAAGGGGUGAUGAAUCAGAGACAAAGAGGAGGGAUUCGUCGAAGAAGGCGUAAAGCAGCUAUUUAUUAUGGGAGAUCUUCAUCUGUUUCAUCAUAUGAUCCUCCUUAUGAAGAGCUUCCAGUAGGCCCUCCAUCUCCUCCUAGUACUAAUAAAGAAGAUGGUGGCCACCCUCCACUGGUUAUGAGAUUAGGCCCGAGAGACAGCUUUGAAUUGAAUGGAUGUUCUGAUGAAGUUGAGCACAUUGAAAAGAACGUUGCAUCCAUUGAAGAGCUGAGACAAAAUGGUGAACCGGUUUCUAGCUUCCAUGAGGAAAACAGAAUAAGACUCUUGGAACGAGCCUUAAAACACGAACGAGAAGCUCGAGAUGCUCUUUGCAUUGAGCUGGAGAAGGAAAGAAAUGCUGCUGCGAGUGCUGCAGAUGAGGCUAUGGCUAUGAUCUUACGUCUACAAGAGGAGAAGGCAUCUAUUGAAAUGGACGCCCGGCAAUAUCAGAGAUUAAUUGAAGAGAAAUCUGCUUUUGAAGAAGAGGAAAUGAACAUUCUAACAGAGAUCCUGAUGAGGACAGAGCGGGAGAAACACUUUUUAGAGAAGGAACUUGAAGUAUAUAGGCAGAUGAAUUAUCUUGGAAAUGAAGAAUCAAUAGUUGAUAGUGGGAAUGUAGCGGAUGCGCUAAGACGUCCUGAUGCUUCAUCUGAUCUUAAUGAGGAUCCACUUCUUAUGCUUCAUCAGAUUAGUGCAUCUUUCGAUAAGAGGUCCGUGGCAGAAUAUAGAAAUUCUGAGGAGGUCAUUUCUCUUGACAAUCAAAACUAUAUUGCUUUGGGCGGAGCACCGAUCCAAAGACAGAGUAAAGAUGUCAACUCCCAGAAGCAAGUUGACUUAGCAGAGCAUUCUUGCAGUCUAGAAUUUCAGGAGAAAGAGAUGGUGUUUAUGGUUAACCACUCCGAUGUACCACCAGGGAAUGGGAAAAUACUGGACACAUCCUUGAAACCCCGUGAGACAGGUCUUUCGAAACAGAAGCUUCCUGAUCAUGCCAUUUCCCUUGAAGGGGAAGUGCUAAAAGAAAAUUCAGAUAUGGAAACAUGUGACAGAGCUUGUAUUGAUGUUUCUGGAAAAGACAAGUGUUUGAAGUAUCAUGAGACAGUUGGAUAUCAGGGAUCAAAAUGUCCAUGUAACUUGACCUCAGAUAAAGAACCUCAUGUUCACGAUGUUCAUGUCAUUGUCGAUGGGUCCAACUUUUGCAAUGAUGUCAAUAGUGGUGAAUCUAGGAAUAGUGCAUUAGAAUUUUCUGGAAUAACUAGUCUCCCUAUUGAAGUUUCUCCUACACAGGAUGUUAUUAGAGAUCAUCCAAGUACAAGUAUGUCGUAUACUCAAGUGGAUCUUAAGAUCAGUGCAGACACUACUUGUGGGCUUCCACCUGUGGGCUCACAUGGUAAACCUUCGCUCUGUGAUUUGGGGGGAAAUUCCAUGUCCUCGGUAGAAAAUGAAAGGCUGAAAAUUGAAAUGGAAGUGGAGCGGCUUCGAGAGAGGUUAAAGAUUGUGCAAGAGGGAAGAGAAAAACUUGACUUGACUGCAGAGCAUAGAGAAAGAGAAAAGAUGCAGUUAAAGAUUUUGGAGGAUAUAGCACACCAACUUCAAGAGAUUCGGCAGCUUGCUGAACCUGAGAAGGCUGUACGACAGGCUUCCUUGCCCCUGCCAUUCUCUAAGGGCAUGUCAAAGAAAAGGCGUUCUCGAAGUGUUUCUGUAGGAAUGCAACAAAGCUCUUGAGGGGUUCAAAUGGUUCGGAGCUUGGAGUUCCUAAUACUGAGCCUCACAACUGCCAUCAUAUUUACUCGGAUCUGGGGAAGACGGUCCAAAUAAUACCCCGUAUUAUUUUUCGAAGAGAUGUUGUGCAGUUAUUUGAGAAUAAGUUCUGCUGGGAACAGCCUCUCUAAAGCAUGCAGCUGAUGGUAUUAAAGUACAACUUCUGAGGACAAACUGGGGUUAAUCCUCUUCUGGAUAAGAAGAAAAGUUAUGACUAAGAAGGCACACAAAUUUUGUUGUUUCACGGCUGGUAACAACUUAUCACUCUGCUAUUUUGUUGACCUCUAUCCAGUGUUCAAAUUGAUUGUUUUCAUAAUUGGAAGCUACAGAAUAAUCUAAAACAGAACAAGUAUGAAGAGGCCCUCCAAAAAGAACGUGAAGGAAAUAUGCUUCGGAAAAAGAUUCAUAACAGGGACAGGACAGAGAGCCAAAAUUGGACUUCAUACUAAAAAAGGCAUGCACUUUAUUUGACUCCAUCGUUGGUGGUGAUGGUGGUGGCAAAGCAAAAUGCAACCAUACAUCAGAGAUAACUUAUAUUAUUCGAGAAACAUCAUAGGUGAAAAACGCAAUAUUUCAAUAUCACACAUGUAUAAUAUUGAAAUAUCAUGUUUGUCAGCUUAUAUCGGGGCUAAUGCAUAAAUAGCCUAAUUAGAGAUCAUCAAGUUUCGUCAUUUUAUAAUCAACUUUUGACAUACGUGACUCGUAUUAUAAAUUUUUAUUUGAAGCAUGACA